UGGGGAAUUUUGGACAAUGGGCGCAAGCCUGAUCCAGCAAUGCCGCGUGAGUGCAGAAGGCCUUCGGGUUGUAAAGCUCUUUUGUCAGGGAAGAAACGGCAGGGGCUAAUAUCCUUUGCUAAUGACCGUACCUGAAGAAUAAGCACCUGCUAACUACUUGCCAGCAGCCGCGGUAAUACGUAGGGUGCAAGCGUUAAUCGGAAUUACUGGGCGUAAAGCGUGCGCAGGCGGUUUUGUAAGUCUGUCGUGAAAGCCCCGGGCUCAACCUGGGAAUUGCGAUGGAGACUGCAAGGCUUGAAUCUGGCAGAGGGGGGUAGAAUUCCACGUGUAGCAGUGAAAUGCGUAGAGAUGUGGAGGAACACCGAUGGCGAAGGCAGCCCCCUGGGUCAAGAUUGACGCUCAUGCACGAAAGCGUGGGGAGCAAAC
rnacentral:rRNA from 1 species